rnacentral:tRNA from 1 species
GCCGCAAUAGCUCAGUGGUAGAGCAACGGUUUUGUAAACCGUAGGUCCUCGGUUCAAGCCCGAGUUGCGGCUCCA